AUGGUGCCCUUGUCUACUCUCUGUCUUCUUCCUUGCACAGGUAUUUUAUUUCAAGAUUUCACACCUUAUUUACUAGUAGUAGGUUCUCUCAUAGCAUUUUUCGGUGGAGUUGUACUGGCAUCUUUGACUGAAGUUUCUUUCAACUGGUUAGUUAUAAUCUUCCCAUUUCUGAAAUUUCAAAGUCAAAUGAUUGGGGAAUGCAUCACACUAUCCAUUAGUUCAGUCAAGCUCACAUUAUUGGCAAUUGAGUUAAGUCUUAUAUUUAUAUGCCUGUAA
rnacentral:rRNA from 1 species